UUUUUUUUAGAUUCCCCCCGCGCCUCGUGUACACUCGUAAAUUGCAUGUGAUCAACUCGACAACAAAAUCACGACACUACACACACUCGAGAUCUGGACGAUCAUUUCUCCGUUUCCUGUUGACUUUUAACCAAACCGGACAAUUUGCUGGCGCUAGUGUCGUUUAUUUUAAAAAACCACAAAAAAGAAUAAAAAAUAAAAUUCUUUUUUAAAAAGAAA